rnacentral:rRNA from 1 species
ACCUUUGCGGGCAGCCUACACAUGCAAGUCGAGCGGCAGCGGGGAGUAGCUUGCUACUUUGCCGGCGAGCGGCGGACGGGUGAGUAAUGCUUGGGAACUUGCCUUUAGGAGGGGGAUAACCACGGGAAACUGUGGCUAAUACCGCAUAAUGUCUACGGACCAAAGCGGGGGCUCUUCGGACCUCGCACCUAAAGAUAGGCCCAAGUGAGAUUAGCUAGUUGGUGGGGUAAAGGCCCACCAAGGCGACGAUCUCUAGCUGUUCUGAGAGGAUGAUCAGCCACACUGGGACUGAGACACGGCCCAGACUCCUACGGGAGGCAGCAGUGGGGAAUAUUGCACAAUGGGGGAAACCCUGAUGCAGCCAUGCCGCGUGUGUGAAGAAGGCCUUCGGGUUGUAAAGCACUUUCAGUGGUGAGGAAGGCUUGUAGGUUAAUAGCCUGCAAGAUUGACGUUAGCCACAGAAGAAGCACCGGCUAACUCCGUGCCAGCAGCCGCGGUAAU